rnacentral:rRNA from 1 species
AGAGUUUGAUCCUGGCUCAGAUUGAACGCUGGCGGAAUGCUUUACACAUGCAAGUCGAACGGUAGAGGGGGCAACCCCUUGAGAGUGGCGAACGGGUGAGUAAUAUAUCGGAACGUGCCCAGUCGUGGGGGAUAACGUAGUGAAAAUUACGCUAAUACCGCAUACGAUCUAAGGAUGAAAGCGGGGGAUCGCAAGACCUCGCGCGAUUGGAGCGACCGAUAUCAGAUUAGGUAGUUGGUAGGGUAAAGGCCUACCAAGCCAACGAUCUGUAGCUGGUCUGAGAGGUCGACCAGCCACACUGGAACUGAGACACGGUCCAGACUCCUACGGGAGGCAGCAGUGGGGAAUUUUGGACAAUGGGCGAAAGCCUGAUCCAGCCAUUCCGCGUGCAGGAUGAAGGCCCUCGGGUUGUAAACUGCUUUUGUACAGAACGAAAAGGUUUCUAUUAAUACUAGAAGCUCAUGACGGUACUGUAAGAAUAAGCACCGGCUAACUACGUGCCAGCAGCCGCGGUAAUACGUAGGGUGCAAGCGUUAAUCGGAAUUACUGGGCGUAAAGCGUGCGCAGGCGGUUAUAUAAGUCAGAUGUGAAAUCCCCGGGCUCAACCUGGGAACUGCAUUUGUGACUGUAUAGCUGGAGUGCGGCAGAGGGGGAUGGAAUUCCGCGUGUAGCAGUGAAAUGCGUAGAUAUGCGGAGGAACACCGAUGGCGAAGGCAAUCCCCUGGGCCUGCACUGACGCUCAUGCACGAAAGCGUGGGGAGCAAACAGGAUUAGAUACCCUGGUAGUCCACGCCCUAAACGAUGUCAACUG